rnacentral:rRNA from 1 species
UGGGGAAUAUUGGACAAUGGGGGCAACCCUGAUCCAGCAAUGCCGCGUGUGUGAAGAAGGUCUUCGGAUUGUAAAGCACUUUCGACGGGGACGAUGAUGACGGUACCCGUAGAAGAAGCCCCGGCUAACUUCGUGCCAGCAGCCGCGGUAAUACGAAGGGGGCUAGCGUUGCUCGGAAUGACUGGGCGUAAAGGGCGUGUAGGCGGUUUACACAGUCAGAUGUGAAAUCCCCGGGCUUAACCUGGGAGCUGCAUUUGAUACGUGUAGACUAGAGUGUGAGAGAGGGUUGUGGAAUUCCCAGUGUAGAGGCGAAAUUCGUAGAU